rnacentral:lncRNA from 1 species
AUUUAAAGGUAAUAUAUUAUUUCAUAAAAUAAUGUCAAAGUAUAGUGUUACUGUAAAAUAAUAGCUAUACUUUAAAAACUUAAGUUGUUAGAGAAUAAUGAUCAUAUAUUUUUAUAUUUAACAUUUUCCUCGUAUCUAAGGUCAAGAUUUUUUGUAAGACUUGUGACGUGAAUUGGGAGAAAAUUAAUAAUGUUAAAAGUCGUGUGAUUUGAACUCAGAACCUUUUGUUCUAAUACCACAUAAAAUAAUCGUCAUACUCUAAAAACUUAAUCUGUUAGAGAAGGGUGUUUAUAUAUUUUUAUAUUUAACAGUUACUAAAAAAGGCGCCAUUAUACU